GGGGGUGAAAAGGUUUCGACGUGAGUCAAUGAGAUAAGAGUUGCAUGCCGAGGUCUCCGCAGGCCUCGUUAAAAAGGCGGAAAAAACUUAACUGCUGACUACGAAGAGUUAGCUCUAGCUGCUUAAAGCAGCUACGCUCGGCUAACUUGCGGCCCGUCGAGUUAGUCGGGCGCCAGACAACGGGCUCUGUGGCUUGUCUGUUCUCAAGGGUCAGGCUGCGAGAAAACACUUGAGAUAGCCUGAACGAAUCUGGCAUAAGGGAGUCGUUACGGUGAAGCGCCAAAACUUAUGCUAAGCAUGUAGUAGCUUUUAUUGAACUGCUCUCGGACACGGGUUCGAUUCCCGUCACCUCCAUCA
rnacentral:tmRNA from 1 species